GAAUCAACCACAUUGCUGUGGGUCUGGAGUCACAUGUAGGCCAGACGAGCACACAAUGAUGGUUUAACCACUGGCCAACUUAAAGAUCUAACACACCAAAUGGGACUAGUUUAGUUUGGAAACGUGGUUGGCAUGGAUUGGUUGUACUGAAGGUCUGUUUCCAUGCUGUAUGACUACGUGCAUAUAGAGCAUCUACAGCGGCUGGCAACAUGAGCGAAGAAAAAAAGGAGAACAUGCCCCCAUCUACUUCAACAGAAC